UUUUUUUUUUUUUUUUUUUUUUUUGGGGGUGGCUCAAGUUUGAACAUCCCUAGCUUUGCACCCGUUACACAAAGCCGAAAGAGAUUCAUUCCAAGAAAUUUUUGCUAGGUUGGAGUUGAUUUUUCCGCUGUUACUAACAUAUCUUGUGGAAACAAAGUCCGUGAAGGCUGGAGGACCAGUUAUUUUCUAUAUUAGAUUAUCAUGUGGCUAUAACUUACAAGAGAGAUUCACGCUUGGGCAACCUUCAUUUGUUAUAAUUCGACGAUCAAAUGGUUAUAUCUGUGUUCGGAAAUAGGUCAAGAGGUGAGAAGUAUUUUUGGAGUAAAGGUUAAAUUCAUUAAUUUAUUCCACCCUUUCUGUUUUUCAUUUUGGUACUUAAAAGAGUCACACACACACAUAUAUAUAUAUACACACACACAUAGGUCAUACAUAUAUAUAUAUCUAUGACCUAUAUAUGGAUGAGAUACAUUGGGUCUGUUUGGUUUUCAUAAUUUACAAAAAAAAUAAUUCUAAAAUAUUAUUCAACUUGUAUCAUAAAUAUAAUUUUUAACUUUAUUUUUAUUUCAUAAACAUCACAUCAUAGAAAAAUAUUAUAGUGUUCAUUGAAAUAAUUUUUUUCUAAAUAAUCUAAGAGAGAAUUUUAGACAACUAAUUUUUUUUUAUUUUGUAAGUGAGAGGUCUUGAAUUUAGGACCAUCUAUUUACAAUUUCUUCCACCUUAUCACCCAAUCCAACCCUUACCCAGCUCACUACUUAACUAACUCAUUAACAACACUUCAACUUAUUAAAUAACUAAGUAGUACAGUGAUAGCUUUGAGGCGGAAUUUCAAUUUACCAAAUGUUUUCAUUCAUACCAUCCAGGGCACAAUAAAGUCCUAAAAAACUCUCUCAAAUAAUUCAUCUUUGGAAAAACCUUACCGUUGAUAGUACAUAAACAGCUUCGAAACAAUAAGAAUUGCUGUCAAGUAAGACUGCAAACGAGUCAAGCCGUGUCGAGUUUUGGCCUAAUCGAACUGAAUCUUAACUUAUUUUUAUUAAACUUGAACUCGAGCUCGAACUCGACGAGCUAACAAUCUAAAGCUUGAGCUCGAGCUUGACUCGAUUCGAGCCGAGUUCGAGAUCGAAAAAAUAAAAAAUAAUUAUUUUAAUUUUUUAAAAAAUAAAUAAAAUAAUAUAUUUUUUCUUAAUAAAUAAUAAAAUAUUAAGAAUACAUAUGUAAUUUUAUUAUUAAAAUAAAAAAUAUAUAUAUACUAUUAAAAAACAAAUAAUAUAUAUAUAUACACACACACACUCGAGCUAGCAAGCAGACUCGAAAGCUAACAAGCUUAAUAUUUUGAACUCGAGCUGGACUCGAGCUACUUGCGAGCGGCUCGAUUCAUUUGCAACCCUACUGUCAAGUAUAAAACUGUAAAACACCCUAUAAUUCCAAUUUCUAAUCCAAUAUGGAUUAAGUUAAAUGUUUCCCUAACAUUUCCUAUUCUGAGACUUAUUUUCUCCUCCUUGUCUCUAAAAUUCAUCUGGUCAAAAUUUUCUCUAGCUUAGCCAUGGGAGAGAGACUAGACAAAUCUGGUCUCUUCCUAUCCAAGGGAGCCCUCUCUCUAAUUUUUAGUUUUCUUUAUUUAAAUAAAUUCUUUCAUAAGGGCUUUUGGCGGGAUAGUCUUGUUUCCUCCUAAUUAGAGAUUCUUCUCUCAUAAAUUGUUCUAACAAGAGUUUUAUUCUCUCUAACUGAGUUUUUCAUUAUGAGAAUUUUUUUAAUUUUUUUUUGUGAAAUCUGAUAUUUUAUAAGCUUAGUAUCUUAGAUCUAAAUUUUUUUGUUUAUUAUUGUUAGAUUUAAGAUUCUUUUGGAUUUGAACCAGUUUUUAAUUAUAUUUGAAUGUUCAAAAACAUGCGCAGACCUAUUAGAUUACAAUGAUUCAUUUGAAUGAAAGAUGUAUUGGAGUAUCAAUGCUGUCUUUAGUUGUAUUGAUUCUUUAGAUCAGUUAUAUCCAUUGAUUUUUACAUUUAUAUAUAUAUCUGUGUUGUGUUUGAUUUGAUGUAUUUUCCAUUAGUACGGAUUUUUUUAAAAAAAUUAUUCUUUCUAUAUAUAUGAAAAAAAAAAUAGUGGUUUAAGCUUUGCUGAACUCUUGAUUGCGUACUUAUCAAAUAAGUAGCUGUUUCAAAGAAUGACAGUUCAAAAAAAAAAAAAAAAGAGUACGUUGGUGUACUCUGCACUUGAGUGUUCAUGGUACAUGAUACUUGAAGCUUAAUGGAGAAACUAUUUUCCCUGUUUCAAGAUGACAAGAGAGAAAACGAUUGCAGGACAAGCUUUAAUGGAGAAACUAUUUUCCCUGUUUUCAUGAUAACAAGAAAGAAAACGACUGUAGGAAUUUUUAGAGUUGCGGAUUUGUCACUAUAUUAAAAUCAUGGAGGUGAUGAUCAUCCUAUCACAAUAUUGUAUGUCAAUGUGUAAUGACCCUAGAUAUUUUAAAUACCUUUAGCAGAAAUGUAUCUGCUGCGUUUUCUAUUUUAGGAAGUUAGUUAGUAAUUCAAAAGUUAGUUACUCUGUUACUCAUCAAAAAGGCAUGCAUGCAUGUACGCUCAUUCUGUUAAGGGGGCGGUUAGAACACAGAAGGAUCUAGAGGAAGAAUCUUGUAUAAAUAAGCCUAAAAGGGGACGGAAAGGUUAUGCAAUGAGAUACAACAAAUUCAGUUCCUUCUUUCCUUCAUUAUCCCUUCCCUCUCACGUAUCUUUCCUUCCCUAUUUCCUCUGUUCUCUUUCUUUUUCAUCUACCCCCUUAGCUACUCUGAUUAUAAUCAGUGGUACCAUUACAAGUGGUAUCAGAGCUUCCGGUCCUUGGACUAGGAAGCUGAAAUCACUAUAAUCCAAUGGCAGAUGGAACUCGAAUGAAAACUAUGGAAGAACAACUACGCAGGCAAGAUAGCAGACUCCAAGGAAUUCUGGAAUCCCUAGCAGCAGACAAACAAAUUAUGGAAGAUAGGUUGGAUGCAGUAAGCGGGGAGCUGAGCAAUAAAUUAGAUGCGUUCAUGGUGGCCAUUUCUCAGCAGCUUUCCAGUGUGAACCGAGGGAAUUCUGAGAAGGGAUUAUUGAGCUCUCCAGAGGGAAGUCACUCCAGGAACUCUGACAUGGGGACUCGAGAGCAAGGAGAGAAAACUGUCAGGAGCACCUUCCAUGCUAGCACACCUAAAUUAGAAAUUCCAGCGUUCAGGGGAGACAAUCCCCGGGAAUGGAUCAGGAAACUUCGGAGGUAUUUCCAGCUUCUACACAUUCCUUUGGAGCAGUGGAUGGAGCUAACGGAAUUCCAUUUAGAAGGGAAAGCAGAGGUGUGGUAUCAAGGAUUCAAAUCUACUAGAGGUAACAAGGUGGAUUGGAUGGAGUUUUCGGGAGAAUUGUGCAAGCGUUUUGGAGCAUUGGGACAAAUGGAUCCAGUGGAGGAAUUCAAUAAAUUGCAGCUUUCCACCACAGUCUUAGCCUACCAGGAAAAAUUUGAGGAGCUACUCUCUGAGGUAAUGAGUCGAGCACCUCUCCUCCCAGAAAAUUAUUACAUUUCAUGUUUUUUGAGUGGACUACCAGAUGAGUUACGGUCAAUGGUGAAGACUCACGACCCUAAGACUCUAUCCAAAGCAUUCGAGCUGGCCAGAUUGCAAGAGAAUGCCUUUGAAGCUUACCACAAGAAGCACAAACCUCCCCAAAAAUCUGGUUUCGCAGGGAAUACUACACAGACUGCUGCUCAAUAUACCGCGCCUCAUACCAAGCCUGUUAUUGCCAAUGCUGUCAAGAAACAGAAUCCUCAAAGCUUCAGAAAAAUCACACCCGCAGAGCUGCAGUACAGGAGGGAGCACCAUCUUUGCUUUAGGUGCGGGGAGAAGUUUGGUCCAGGACACCAAUGUAAGCAGAAGGAAAUCCAUCUGCUGGUGGCAAUAGACGACAGUCCUGAUGAUCUGGUGGAAGGGGAGAUGAUCGAGUACAAGGGAGCACAAUCAACCAAGGGUAUAGAAAUGGAGAUACAUGCGUUAACAGGGAAAAUGACUUACAACACCAUCAAGCUGCAAGGGAGUUUCAAACGGACACCACUAUCAAUUCUGGUUGAUGGAGGAAGCACUCAUAGCUUUGUCAAAAACUCUGUGGCACGACUCUACCCAGAGCUGGUCCAGUCUAUCAAGCCUUUCAGAGUCAGGGUGGCAAAUGGGGAGUAUUUGACCUGCGACAAGAUGAUCCCAAACAUGAGCUGGACAAUGCAAGGUAAACAGUUCACUCAUGAUAUGUUUGUCAUUAACUUGGAGCCGUAUGAUGUGAUCAUAGGGGUAGACUGGAUGGCAGCACACAGCCCCAUCACAUUCGACUUCAAGCAGCUGAACAUGUCCUUUGAUGAGAAAGGGGAGAGGAUUCUUCUGCAUGGAGAAUCCAAGGAGACUGUUCUCAAACUCCCUGGUGAUAAGGCUGAGAAGGAGGGAUGGAGUACCAGAAUUUGGAAGCAUGCAUGCGGACUGCAAAUGAAGGAGACUCAGGUAAACACUGUCACUCAGCUGGACACUGAUUUUCAACAGUCCUUAGGUGCUCUGCUUAAAGACUACAAAGAUGUAUUUGGUGAACCACGGUCCCUUCCCCCUUCCAGAAACUGUGACCAUCAAAUUCCCCUAGUACCUAAUGUCAAACCUUUCAAGAUAGCACCAUAUAGGUACCCUCACAACCAAAAAAAUGAAAUAGAAAGGCAGGUGAAGGACAUGCUUAGUAGUGGAAUUAUCCAGCUUAGCCAUAGUCCGUUCGCCUCUCCAGUUCUAUUAGUAAAAAAAAAAGAUGGAACUUGGAGAUUUUGUGUUGACUACAGACAACUAAAUGACCUGACUAUCAAGGAUAAAUUCCCAAUACCUAUCAUUGAUGAUUUACUUGAUGAACUGUAUGGAGCCAAGCUCUUUUCUAAAAUAGAUCUAAGAGCUGGAUACCAUCAGGUCAGGAUGAUCAUUGCUGACAUUCCAAAAACAGCUUUCAAAACUCACCUUGGAUUGUAUGAGUUCACUGUUAUGCCCUUUGGUCUUACUAAUGCACCCGCAACCUUUCAAAGCCUGAUGAACCAUGUCUUUGAACCUUACCUGAGGAAGUUUGUGUUAGUAUUCUUUGAUGACAUCCUUGUAUACAGUCCAGACCCAGACACUCAUCUUUUGCACCUCAAAACUGUCCUAGAAACACUCCAAGCUCAUUCUCUUUUUGCCAAGCUUUCCAAAUGCGUCUUUGGACAGUCACAAGUAGAGUAUUUGGGACAUGUUAUCAGUGGAGAUGGAGUGCAGGCAGAUUCUUCAAAAGUCAAGAGCAUGAUGGAUUGGCCUGCCCCUACGUCAGUGAAAGCAUUAAGAGGUUUUUUGGGACUGACGGGGUACUACAGGAGGUUUGUGAGGGGAUAUGGACUUGUUGCCAAGCCACUUACUGAACUCUUGAAGAAGGAAAACUUCCAUUGGAAUGAGCAGGCUGAGCUAGCUUUUCAAAAACUGAAGCAGCUAAUGAGCAGUACACCAGUCCUAACUCUUCCUAAUUUCUCUUUACCUUUUAUCCUAGAAACCGAUGCUAGUCAUAAGGCUAUUGGUGCAGUCCUAAUGCAGCAGGGAAGGCCUAUUGCCUAUCUCAGUCAAGCUCUGGGACUUAAGAACCUGGGACUAUCCAUAUACGAGAAGGAGUUGCUGUCCCUUAUUACAGCUGUUUCCAAGUGGAGACAUUACCUGCUGGGCAACCAUUUCAUCAUAAAGACAGAUCACCAGAGCUUAAAGUACCUACUAGAGCAGAAGAUAACCACUCCCCUGCAGCAAAAGUGGCUUACUAAGUUGCUAGGACUGGACUAUGAAAUACAGUACAAGAGAGGUAAGGAAAAUCUUGUGGCUGAUGCACUGUCCAGGAGAGGCUAUGAAGAAGAUAGCUCUACACACAGUCUCUCAGUCAUGAAACCUGCGUGGCUAGCUGAGGUUCUGGAAAGCUACCGAGAGGAUAGUGCAGUGAUUAAGCUAAUCGAAGCCUUGACAAUUACACCUAACUCUCUUCCAAAUUACUCUUUUGAUAGGGGAUUACUCAGGUAUAAAGGCAGGAUUUACAUUGGAGCGUCAGGGAGCUUGCGACAGAAGCUGAUAACUUGCUUUCAUGACUCGCACCUUGGAGGACACUCAGGCAAUCUGGGAACCUAUCAGAGGUUGAAGGGACCAUUCUUCUGGCCAGGAAUGAAGAGAGAGGUAGAAGGUUGGGUGCAGCAAUGUGAUGUCUGUAAGAGGAGCAAGGUAGAAAAUUGCAAAACACCAGGCCUACUGCAACCACUUCCUGUCCCUGAGCAAGCAUGGCAGCACAUUGCAAUGGACUUCAUUGAAGGAUUACCUAAAUCUCAAGGAUAUGAAGGAAUACUAGUGGUCAUUGAUAGGUUUACCAAAUACUGCCACCUCUUAGCACUACCCUCCAAGUAUACAGCACAAUCAGUAGCUAGCAUGUACUUUGAUAACAUCUACAAGUUGCACGGAUUACCCCUGAGCAUUGUAUCAGACAGGGAUAGGCUGUUUACUAGCAUGUUUUGGCAGGAAUUGUUUGGGAAGCUGGGUACUGAGCUGCACUACUCCACUGCAUACCACCCUCAGACAGAUGGGCAGACAGAAAGGCUGAACAGGUGCGUUGAGACAUACUUGAGGUGUCUUUGUUUCCAACAACCUCACAAAUGGAAGUUCUUACUAGCAGCUGCCGAAUGGUGGUACAAUACCAACCAUCACACAGCCUUGAAAAUGACUCCUUUUCAGGCUCUGUAUGGUUAUCCACCCUCUCAAUUAGGCCUAGAUACCUUAGAGACCCCAGUAGCCGCUGUGGAACAGUGGUUGGGGGAUAGGAGGAAGUGGAAUGAAUUGCUGAGGGGAAAUCUAAUCAAGGCUCAAAAUCGAAUGAAGCAGUUUGCUGACAAGGACAGAAUUGAAAGGAGUUUCCAGGUAGGUGACUGGGUAUACUUGAAAUUGCAGCCUUACAGGCAAACUUCAGUAGCAAUCAGGAAGAAUCUGAAGUUAUCUUCCAAGUACUAUGGGCCGUAUAAGAUCCUUCAAAAGGUUGGAAAUGCAGCCUAUAAGCUAGAGUUACCUGCUGGUUCUUUGAUACAUCCUACCUUCCAUGUUUCCUUGCUCAAACCAUCUGCAACAAAUCGUGUUGUGACUCAGGAGUUACCCUUGACUACUGCUGAGGGGCAGAUUAAAAUUGCCCCGGAAAGUGUACUUGAUACUCGUGAAAUCAUAAGGAGAAAACAGAAGAUGACUCAAGUGUUGAUCAAGUGGGUGAACUUAGGCACGGAAGACUCAACUUGGGAGGAUGUCACAGUAAUACAAUCACAGUUCCCAAAUUUCCAGCUCAAUCCUAGUGACUAGGAUUCUUAAGGGGAAGGUGUUGUAAUGACCCUAGAUAUUUUAAAUACCUUUAGCAGAAAUGUAUCUGCUGCGUUUUCUAUUUUAGGAAGUUAGUUAGUAAUUCAAAAGUUAGUUACUCUGUUACUCAUCAAAAAGGCAUGCAUGCAUGUACGCUCAUUCUGUUAAGGGGGCGGUUAGAACACAGAAGGAUCUAGAGGAAGAAUCUUGUAUAAAUAAGCCUAAAAGGGGACGGAAAGGUUAUGCAAUGAGAUACAACAAAUUCAGUUCCUUCUUUCCUUCAUUAUCCCUUCCCUCUCACGUAUCUUUCCUUCCCUAUUUCCUCUGUUCUCUUUCUUUUUCAUCUACCCCCUUAGCUACUCUGAUUAUAAUCAGUGGUACCAUUACACAAUGUCUCGCAUACCUAGGGGAGUAGCUAAAGCAAUUGACAGUUCAAUUGAACGGUUUAUACGGGAAGCAGUUAUUGAUGCUAAAGGAAACCAUUGGAAGUCUUUUUUUUUUUUUUUUUGUCAAUUAUCACCAUCUACAUCUACUCCUACUUCUAAUCUAGCCUAUAUUAGGGGGUGACCCAAUACGGUCACGGAAAACUGACGGAACUAAACCAUUAUCGGACCAUAUAGACAUGGAUCUAAGCAAAACCACAUUAAAUGGCAACUUUUUGAUAGAAGAUAAGAUUUGAACUUUUAACCUCUCACCCCUAUACUAGGGGAUGACCCAAUACGGUCACGAAAAAUCGAUGGAACUAAACUAUCAUCGGACCAUACAGACAUGGAUCUAAACAAAGCCACGUUAAGUGGCUACUUUUUGAUAGGAGAUAAGAUUUGAACUUUUAACCUCUUACCCUAUACUUAAAGUGGUGGCCAACUCCACUAAAUGAAACACUGGAAGUCGUGGAAGCAAUUAUGUGAUUCAAAAUUCAGAGGAGGAUUGGACCUGCUGUCAGCAGAGGAACAGAAGGGAGAACUACUAUGCAUGGAAUCCUAUGUAUACCCUGUGUACUUUUAGGCCCUAAAAUUUUAGCACGAAUCAAAUGUAUGACAUGUUUCACACAAAUACUUCAAAGAUACUAAACUCACACCCCUCUAUUAUUGUCUAUCGAGAUCUUGCAUAAUUGGUAAUAUUAAUGGUCAAUAUAAGGGGCGGAUUUAAGGUGGGGGCACUGAGAGCACGGCCCCCACUACCUCCUUAAAUUCCUAUAAUACUUAUAUAAUUUUAAUAUAAUUUUAAGUGUGUCCUCAGUGUUUUUUUAGAAAAGAUGUGAAAGAAUGGGUCACAAAAUUUAGUUUAGUUACUUAUAUUGAGAAAAAUAUACUUCGUGAAAUUCAAAAUGAGAAAGUUAUAAACCGUUAUCAAAAUAUGAAAACUCACCGUGAACAAUUGUAAAUAGUUUAGUUUGUUUUUGAAAUAAAAUUAUUAUUACAUUAAUAAUUUUGAGUUUGUCUUUUUAUAUUUUUCAUGGAAUAUACGUAUUAUUUGUACUUGUUGGUGAAUUUAUUUAUUUUUUUACUUAAAAAACUAGAAAAAGAGUAGAUAAAAAAUUUUAGUGUUAUUUUGCCCCCACUAAGAUUUUUUUCUGGCUCCGCCACUGGUCAAUAUUAUUGAUUCAUAGCACGUAUUGCAUAGCAUAAAGAAUACCAUAAUUUUUUGCCCAUUUAAAUAUAUUUACACAAUUAUUAAGGGGUCUAAGUAUGUUGGUUUUAUUUGGGAUAUUAAUGAAACAUUUUAAAGAAUAUACAGAGUGCUAAAUGCUUGUAAUUUUUGCAUCCCGUCAAAGUUAUCAAGCCGGACCUACUCUAUGUUAUCAUGCAUGAAUCAAAUUAAUGGAAUUUAUUGAACACAAUAUUAACUAAUAGAUUUCCUUGUUUUUUUUUCUCCAUAUUUGCUAUUGAUUAAUUUAGGCUAAAAUUAUAUGAUUUUUUAUUAUAGAGUCCAAAAUGGUUAAACAUGAAAGUCUUUUAUCCAAUUAAUUUCUUAUUCUCAUACUCUUGUUAAAUUUAAUUUCUACAUGGUAUUCUAAUGCAUUCUUUUUUCUUUUUCUUUUUUCUAGAAGUCAUCUCAAAAAGAUCCAAAUCUGAAUUAGUCUCCCAAAAGGAAAACAAAUUUCCAAUUUGAAGUCUCCUCUUGAAAGGCAAACCAUAAAGUUUUCCAAACACCAUCGCUAGAUUAUUUUGUUCCAAAUAAACUUAAGAGAAAAAUGCAAUUUUGGUACCUAAACUUUGACACACGAGUGAUUUUAGUCCCCAAAUUUUGGACGAAAACAAAUUUGGUGCCUGAACUUUCAAAUUUUGAGCACAUUAAGUACCCUUGACGAUUUUACCCAAAUUGUUAUCGAAAAAAGCCAUGUGACAGUCACGUGUCCGGCCAAACUGAAAUAAAAAAGGCUAAAAUACAGUUUUGGUACCUAAACUUUGACGCACGAACGGUUUUAAUUCCCAAAUUUUGGACGAAAACAAAUUUGGUACCCGAACUUUCAAAUUUUGAGCACAUUAAGUACCCUUGACGAUUUUUUUCCAAAUUGUUAUAAAAAAAAAGCCAUAUGACAGUCACGUGUCCGGCCACAAUUGUAUAAAAAAAGGCCAAAAAAAUGUCAAAUGCCAUUCUAAUACUAAGUAUUAAAUUUAAGGACUAAUAGCGUAAUAAAAAAAAUCCAAGGACUAAAUAACACCACAUGAGUCAACAAAACCCAAAAACCGAUACAAAUGAAUUCCAAUUCCAGUACAUUAACUAAUUGUGUAUUCCGUCUAUCUUUCACUUUAUACAAAAUCAUAGGGGGACUAUAUGGCUAUUUUGAAAUCUUAAGGGGGUCAUCUAAUGUUACACAAAACUACAAAAAUUUAUAUGUAAUUUGAUCUAUUUUAAUUCAAUUAAACUUUACAUGUUAUCCCUAAAUGAUACCUGACUGCAUUUUAUUCUAUAAUAUAAGGAAAUUGACUGGAAAGAAAAUAUAUUCCUAAACAAUAAUCUCAAAGUUAGCUUUUCCUAAAUAUCAUGGCUAGAAAUUAUAGAAUAUGCAUUCAAAUUAAAAUUAUAGAAAUAAAUGCUCAAAUAAUUCAUAGGUUUGUGAUCUUAUUGUUUUUUAAUACAACAAUGAAGCAAUAAGAGAUUUUAAAAAUGAUAUCUUAUAUUUUAAUUUGUUUCAUGCACAAAUUUAUCUUUAUCAAUAGCCAAGAAGUUUACACUUUACACAAGAGGUAAGGGGUUAGAAUACAAAGCCAAAUAGCUGACUUGAAAAUUUUGUUGCGAGAAAUCCCAUCACAAACUCAUAUCCUAAUUUUCCUUGAUGUUUGGAACAUUUCUUCAAGAAGCCACUAAUCUCCUAAUUCUCCUUGGUGUUUGGAAUGUUCCUUCUAGAAGCUACAUAUAGACGACUAUUUAUCUCAACUUUUUUUAUUAAAUUUGUCGGACAAUGAUUUUUGAAAUUUUAACAUCCUUAUACUAUAUAAGAAUGAGUUUAGGGCUUGAAUUUCAACCGCAAGGAUGAGACUUUUUUGGAAAUGUGAGAGUGUUUGAAGUGCAAUUAGAGUAUUGAAUAUGAGUCAUUAUAACUAAUUUAGUUUUGUUGUAAUUACUUGGAUGUCCUUUUAAACAUUUAAAACUAGGGGUAAGUUUGAUAUGUGCCAUUGUUUGAUAUUCGAUUAAACAUUGGGUACAACUGAAUUCAGCUUGUGUUUUAGUGAAAUUACAUAAAAGCCCUUCUAAUCAUUUAAUUGUAUUAACAUCUAAGUCUUUUAAUUUCUUAAAGUCUUUCUCAUCAGUUAUUUGCAAAGUUAUGAUAUAUAGAUAUUAAGACACAAUUAAUGUCAAUUAGUAGAGAAGUUUGGUUUCUUGGUCGUUAUCAUAGAUGUUAAUUCGGAUGUUGUUACAUUAGCUACUAUUUUUCCCUAUUUUGCAACACCUUUUUCAAUAGAUAUGUUUUCUUUAACCAAUCUACUUUUUGGUUGUAAAAAAUCUGUAAUAUUGCAAGUUGUAUGUGCAAUAAUUUUUUAGUAUUUUAAUUCAAUUGCCCAUGUUAGACAAGCUUGAUAAGGAAGAGACCACAUUUGUUAAUUGUUAUUUAUGGUUUAAAAUAAGUUUAUCAUCAUAAAUUUUCCCAUUUAUAGAUUGCAUCUACUUCUUUUGUUGUUUUAACUAUUAGUUAGGGUAAUUUUCAAAUCGUUUGCUACUUUAUUGACUAUUCCAUUUAGACAAUUUUUCACUUCAUCUGAUUUGCCAAUAUGUUUAACUAUCUACUUAAAACUAUUUGACUACAAAUCUAAAGUAUGUACCUCAUUACUUUUAAUUAUUUUUCUUAAAUUGAAUGGAUUAAGAUGCUUUAGUACUUUUUUGACGUAAUCAUUCCUCUAAAUUAGCAUGUUAGUUGUUGUAUAUCUUUGCAACUAACACAAAACUGAUAUUUCGUGAUUGUAACCCCUAUCGAAAAGGAGAUGCUUUGCUAUAUGUCCUAAAUCAUACAAUAAAUUAUAAUUAAUUGUUUGCUCAAUGUGAAGACCUCGUGAUGAUAUAUGUCCUUAGAAUCAAUAUAAAUUCAAGAAUUUGGCUCGCAAGAAUCAAAAUUCUACUAGCAAUGAUUUCUUCAAAUAUGCUAAUUGUUCAAAUCUCACUUAUAUGACAAGAUAAUGUGGUGGAUUGCCCUCAUAGCAUGAUCAAAUUCAAACUAAAUAACAAAUUUUAAUAUCCUUAAAGUGUAUGAGCAGAUAUAAAUAAGUCUUUUAUUAUACUAGGUUAGAUGCAAAAUAGUUGAUCGUAUCUUAUAAUUAUGUUUUAUUGCAUAUUAUAUUUUUUAACUCAAUAUGUAACUUAUGAUUUUUUUAAUUUAAUAUCACAUAAUAAAAUUAUCAUACUUCAAUUCUUAUACUAGAAAAUGCCAAAUAAUAAUUAUUAACCAUCUUUAAUUAUAAGCACUAAACUCCCACGCAUUGCGUGGGCUUUUCCCCCUAGUAUUCUUAAUACAUUUAACACUAUUCGACUAAUGAUGUGUAAAUAUGCUGUAGUGUUUAUGCCUUUUAAGUUGUCUAUUCACUUUUGUGUUUAUUGAAAUUCCAUUGGUAGAGUUUUGUAUGUCCGCAUUGCUUAAUUUUUGGAGAGUAUGCAUGUUUUUUUUUUUUUUCAGCAUCCUUCUUAAUCCUUAUGGCCUUUUAGGCGCGUGGUUAAAGAAUAUUUUGUAAUUAAUUAGAGUACUGAAGCAUUGUUAGGGUUUAAUUUAUGUAUUAAAAGUUUAACCAUGAGUGAAUUUUAAAUCAGUACUUUUAUUUAUUGUGUAAUUUUUUUUCACUUUGGCUUAUAAUGAAACUACAUGUAUACUCUUGUUGAUUUAAUUUUUUCUUUUUUGUGUAAGUUGGAGGAUUCGAACCCGAGACCUCUCGCUUACACUCCCUCCCCCCGUACCACCCAACCCAUCCCUCCCCCCUUACUCUUGUUGAUUUAAUUUAUAUAAUCUUAUAUUGUUACUUUGAUUUGUAGAAUUCAACAUGGGAAAAUUUUUCAAAAACAUCCUUCACAUUUUGUCAAUUCAAUUUUUUUUUUCAUCUUUUACCUUUAAAAUAGUAACUUUACAUCCCACACAAGAUCAAGUCAGUAAAAUUUGGUUCCAACUUAGAUUUUCGACCACCUUUUACCCUGAAUCCAUCACAUGACCCAUACAUUGUCUUUUCUUAGGGAUUAAAAGAUUAAAUCUCAUUUGUAGUUAAAAAAAAGAUGCUAAUUCAUAUUUAUUUUUGCCCUUAAAAAAGUAGAAUCUGACCCAAACUAUAUUUAUUUUUCUUUAAAAAAGUGGGAUCAAACUCAAUUCAUAUCAAGUUUGUUUCCAAAAAAGUAGGAUUUGACCCUUUUCUAUAUAAAAAAGACUGCAUGUGGGUCAUGCGGUGAUUUCAAGUUAAAAGGUUGUCAAAAAUUUAGGUUGGGAUCAAAUUUUGUUGAUUGAAAUUUGUAAGGGAUAUAAAAUUAACAUUUUAAAAGUAAAGGGCGAAAAAAUUCAUUUGGCGAAAUGUAAGAGACGUUUUAAAUGAUUUUCCUAUUUAACAUUAUAAAGCAACUGCAUUCCAUAUCUAACUAUAUUUUAUGAGGAAGUUUAGUUCCAUAAAAUUCUUUUCCCAACACAAAAUGUCAUCAUCAAUAGUAUACAAAUACCCAUGCUAAUGUGAGAGGGUACUGGAUUGAAUACAUACUGUAAUCCUUAUUAUUUAUGACAAGGGUAUUAUUGGAAAGAGAAAAUUAAAUUACUAAAUUACCAAAUCAUAUUGAUGCUUUUAAUAUAGUAUAUAGAUUUUUUUGCAAGAGAAGGGUGGAAUUUAAAAAAUAAGGAAUGAGUGGGGGAUUAAAACCUGUAACUCCUUGACCCUUAAUUUUAACGAUUAGACUAAGGCCUUUUCGGUCAUGAUAGCUGUUCUAGCAAGUAGCCAAUAGAAGUGGUCAAGAUAUGCUCGAUUUAUGUCUUGGAUUCAAGUUGUCCUUUUCUCCUAUCCGUCUCUUCAAUCCCAUCCCUCCCCUACUUAUUUGAAAAAAAGCUUUCACUACCCUCAUGACUUGCAGCUUUAUCAAUCGCAGAGACAAGAAUACCGCUGAAGAAGUCCCCUACGCCUAUGGUACCAUAGGAAAAAGAGAGGCCGAAACAUCUUAAUUCAGUAGGCACUAGAUCAUAGAAAACUUUCAGCAUUCCUACUUUAAUCAGUACAUGUAAAUCUAUACAUCAGAAUCGUUUUUGAUAUUAUUUGGUUCCCUAUAAAUGUAAGAUUUUGCUAAACAGACAAAUGCAAUUAAACCCACAACACCUAUUCCAGCAAGCAGCCAAUAGAAGUAAUCAACAUGUGCUCGAUUUAAGUUAUCUGAGAACCAACUUUCUCUACUCCCUUGGCUUGUAAUUUUGUCAAUCAUAGAGACCAGAAAGCUGCUCAAGAAAUCGCCUAUGCCUAUGGCCCCCUGGGAAAAAGAGAGGCCUAAACAUCUUAAUUCUGUAGGCACCUGAUCAUAGAAGAAUUCCUGCAUUCCUACGUUAAUCAACACAUCAACGAGUCCAAAUAAUAAAUAUUGAGGCGCCAACCACCAAAAAGUCAUGGGAACUGUUGCAUUAGAAAUGUCGAGGAGACCAAAAUCUCGAGCAGUUUUGAGUCUUUUCUUCUCAAUCACAGCUGCAAUGACCAUGUUCAGGACAGAUAUUGCCAUGCCAAUUCCUAUUCUCUGAAGCAUUGUUAUCCCAUAGGGAUAUCUUGUUAUCCUUCUCGCAAUUGGGAUGAAAAUUCGAUCAUAAAUUAUGCUACAGAACGCUACAGAAAGGGCGAUGAUAAUCCGAAGUGCUGCAGUUGGUAUACUAUAACUUUGCCCUAUUGAUCUGUCAAGUGUUGUAGCUUGCUUAGUAAAUAAUGUGCAGGAUUGAGCAUGCCCAAUUGUAUACGUUAAACAAGUUACCCAUAUUGGAAACAGCCUUAAAACUUCCUUUAUUUCUUUAGUCUUGCUAGAGGUUUCAUUAAUGUUUGUUGAAUCAUCGCCUGCAGGAGGUGAGCCAUCCUUGAGAAACCUGUCCAGAAAAUGCUACAUUAGUAAGUAUGAUCAAAAAACGUGGAUAUUGGCAAGCACCGACCACAUGCAAUGAGUACCGCAAGACAGCAUCAAAGGAAUACGGGAAGGGGUUGCUUGAAUUUGGAACUAGGAUCUGAAUAUGGAGCAACAAUCCAAUGCAAGUUAAAAGUUUAAUCCUUGGUUUUAAAGGGAAUUUACUGCCAAUCUGCUCAAAAUUUUGAUUAUCCUUAUUUUGUCUAGAAAGAUGUAUUUCUAAACAAGAAUUGUUUUGUGUGCCAAAGUUAUGAGUGACACAUUUUUUCAGUGAGAUGGAUGAUACAAUCAUUGGUUGAUAAUUGGGCUCAAUGCAUCGGAUUCGAAAAUAGAUUUAGGGCAAAUUACAUUUUACCGCCCUAUGAUUUAGUGCUUUUGUACAUAAUCCCCUCAUAGUUUCAAAAACUAUAGAUAAUCUCUCAUGAUUUGGAUUAAAGUGUCAAAGUAACCAAAUUUUCAAUCCAUAGUGGAGUCAUCUAAAAUGUCAAAAAUAUCCCUAUAUAAAGUUGAAAAUUUUUUGUCAACCACAUGGGGAUUAUGUGUAUAUUUUGAUAAUCAUAAAGGGUUAUAUGAUAAAGAAUUAAAUCAUAAAGGGGUUAUAUGGUAAAAUAUAAAACUAUAUGGGGUUAGUGCGUUAUGCAUAUUAUGUUUAUAUAUUUUGGUCAUUUCAGCCAUUUUAAUUUUUAAAUAAAGGUAAUUUUGACAUUUUUAAAGAUUCCUUUAGGGCAAAUUAUAUUUUACCCCCCUAUGGUUUGGCCUUUUUUUUUUUACAUAAUCCCCAUAUGAUUUCAAAAGCUAUACAUAACCCCCUCAUGGUUUGGAUUAAAGUGUCAAAGUGACGGAAAUAGUCAUUCAUAACGGAACUUCUAAAAUGUCGAAAUUACCCUUAUAAAUACAUGACACAUUAACCCUGUAUGAUUUUAUAUUUUACCAUAUAACCCCCUUAUGAUUUAAUAUUUUACCAUAUAACCCCCUUAUGGUUUUUAAAAUAUACAUAUAACCCCCCUUGGUUAAUAAAUAAUUUUCAACUUUACAUAAGGGUAUUUUUGACAUUUUAGGUGACUCCGAUAAGAAUGAUCAUUCCCAUCACUUUGACACUUUAAUCCAAACUACGAGGGGGUUAUAUAUAGUUUUUGAAACCAUAGGGGGUUAUGUAAAAAAAGCUAAAUCACAAGGGGUAAAGUGGAAUUUGCCCAUUCCUUUACGAAUGAUCAUCUCAAUCAUUUUGACACUUUAAUCCAAACCAUGAUGUGAGUUAUGUAUAGUUUUUGAAAUCAUAUGGGGAUUAUGUAUAAAAACACUAAACCAUAGGGGGAAAAAUAUAAUUUGCCCAUAGAUUUACAAUAAGGGAACUUGCUUUUCUUUCUGAUGUGCUGUUUUGGAUUCGAGCUUAAAUCAGAUGCCUGCUUCAUAUGUCGAAGAGAAUAAAUCUAUGAGAUCAACUUUUAAUUAGACCAAUAAAAAAAGAAAAAAGAAAAAAAAAUCCUUACUCGCCAUGCAGAAGGCUUUCUUCACGGCUUGAUGAGGGAGCUACAAUGUACAAAGCACUUAUGCUUUUCUUGAAUCCCUUGUCCUUCUUCCCAUAACGGAUUUCUACCUCUUUAUCACCUAUUGUGGCAGGAAAUCGAUACAUUUUGUUUCCCAGUAAAAACAGGAUAAGCCCGACUAUCAC
rnacentral:lncRNA from 1 species